rnacentral:misc_RNA from 1 species
AACUUUCGGCAACGGAUCUCUAGGCUCUCGCAACGAUGAAGAACGCAGCGAAAUGCGAUAAGUAAUGUGAAUUGCAGAAUUCCGUGAAUCAUCAAAUCUUUGAACGCACAUUGCGCUCAGUGGUAUCCCGCUGAGCAUAUCUGUUUGAGAAUCAGUUUAAUUCUCACCUUUGGGUUUCGGCCUAAAUGUGGACUUGGGACUAUUCCGUAAAUGGAGAGACCUUAAACAAAUUUGUCGCCUUGAUAUGACUAGUUAACCAACUGGAAGGCAUGAUUACGCUUUAAUAGCACUUAUGCUGACAACGGGAGGAAGACUACCUAAUCGUGGGUGCAGAAUUAAUCACUAAAGCUUAAAAACUUUAAAGACUUGAUCUCAAAUCAGAUAAGACUACCCGCUGAACUUAAGCAUAUCAAUAAGCGGAGGCU